rnacentral:rRNA from 1 species
AUGGCACUGGCAGCGGCACCUGCGAGCAGAGGCGUCCGUAGAGCGGCAGCGGCAAAGGCGGACGUGGAGGAGAAAGGAGGGCAUGGGCAGGGAGGCCCUGGUGGUGCAGGGGCGAAGCAGCAGGGCGUUGGCGCAGGUGGCCGGGUGGCGGCGACGGGCGGUGAUGGGAAGAGCAGCUGCAACAGGGCAUGGAAGGAGGAGAAACAGAGGAAGGGGGCCGUGCGAAGGCCGUCGUGCUCGCCGCCGCAGGGCGGCGGCCUACCGGAGAGGAAGCAGGAGCAGAGGGGCGGCGAAGCAGCGUGUCCUGGUGGCGGGUCGAGGAGUCACAGAGAGGCGGAGGAGAGGCAAGGAUGA